AGUUGCAAUUUCUAAACAAAUUAGAAUAUAACCUUUUUAAAACAAGAAAAGAUGGAUGUGCUAAUCUCCUAUCCAUUGGAUAAUCUCUCAAUUAGCACUUAUAGACUAUCUUAACAAAGCCUAGUUUGCUUCGGGAUUUGAAGAAUUACAACCGUCAUUUAGAAAAUACAGAUCAUCUUGCAAUUUGCCACUGCCAAUCAGUUUCCCUAUUUUCAAAUCAUUGAUUGAAUAUGCUGUUCCAAG
rnacentral:misc_RNA from 1 species